AUUGAACGCUGGCGGCAUGCUUUACACAUGCAAGUCGAACGGUAACAGGUUAAGCUGACGAGUGGCGAACGGGUGAGUAAUGCAUCGGAACGUGCCCGAUCGUGGGGGAUAACGCAGCGAAAGCUGCGCUAAUACCGCAUACGAUCUGAGGAUGAAAGCGGGGGACCGUAAGGCCUCGAGCGAUCGGAGCGGCCGAUGUGAGAUUAGGUAGUUGGUGGGGUAAAGGCUCACCAAGCCAACGAUCUGUAGCUGGUCUGAGAGGACGACCAGCCACACUGGGACUGAGACACGGCCCAGACUCCUACGGGAGGCAGCAGUGGGGAAUUUUGGACAAUGGGCGAAAGCCUGAUCCAGCAAUGCCGCGUGCAGGAAGAAGGCCUUCGGGUUGUAAACUGCUUUUGUACGGAGCGAAAAGGCUCUCUCUAAUACAGGGGGCUCAUGACGGUACCGUAAGAAUAAGCACCGGCUAACUACGUGCCAGCCGCCGCAGUAA
rnacentral:rRNA from 1 species